CACUUGCUUAGACGUUGAAGACGCCAUCGUCUCUCUGAAUGAAUUUACCUGCCAGCAUUUUGGGAACAAGACAGGAUGAGGAAACACUAACAGGCAGGACACAAAAGAUCUCCGGUGUAUGAAGGGAAAAUCUGUCGCCGCUAAUGAUGAAUUACCAUUAGACUCGCGCAUUUCCGACGCCGACAGCAGAGGGGAAAGCAAAAACUAAAACCUUGUUUAAUGAUGCUGUCGGUACCGGAUGCGGCUCACUGUUUUGGCUGCCCCACCGAGGCCACUCACUCUUCCAACGAGAGAGUCACCAAACGCUGCUGCUGCUGGAGGAGAAGGGAAGAGGAGGAGGAGGAGGAGGAAGAAGAAGAAGAGGUGCUGAAGAGGGUGCGGGGGCGGUGGGGGGAGUAGGAAGGGAGGGUGGAAGAGAAGAGGAACGCGUAAUCUCCCAAACAUCCGUUGUUAACCACUUCACCCCCUCUGGAUCCGUGCGGCAAGGUAAGAAAAAAGCCUGCGCGGCUUGGCCCUCUCUGCAUCGUAAAGUGCACAGGCAGGCGGGUGUAGCAGCUCCUCUCCUCUCCUCUGCUCUCCGGGGCUGAGGCUGAGGCUGAGGCUGUCUUCCACUGCGGAUAGAGAGCGGAUGGAGGCCGGGCACGGAGCAGGACACCAAGAGGACAUAACAACAAACCUGGCACGGGGAAAACAGUGGAGCGACUUGUGGUUGUUAAGGAGUGGCUGGCACGAGUCGCCAAGCCAAGCCGGGGCAUGUGAGGUGUAAACGAAGACGCAACGGAGACGGAAACGAGCGGAGGUGUCGGGGCGUCGCAUGGCGAGCCUCUCUGAUGUUCUGGAUCACUGGGGGGAAGAUGGAAAUCGGACGUCCGUGGGGAGAAGAAAUUGCAUGCCAACAGCACAUCGUUGGUGGAGUCCUUUUUUUUUUUUUUUUUAUGGGAGGCGUGUUUUAAGGAGCUCUGUUUCGUCCUCAUGUGGUAGGCAAUCUACUUAGGACGGCUGUAAUUUCUCUACUGCAAACACGACACACAAGAGUAGCACAGGGAAAACUUUUCCUAGCAGGUUUACAAUUGUAUUAACCUCAAAGAAAGAAAGAAAGAAACUUAAAAUAAAUGUUUUCUUUAAAAAAAAAAGUCUUUUCUUUUCUAUUUUUUUACACAAUCAACAGUGAGACACUCAAGUCUUGCAAAACGUAAAUAUAGCUGGGUUAGAUGCUUUGAAUUUAUACUGUUUCCAGGACAUCACAACACUUUCUAAUAGUGACCUUUGACUUUGGCUGAAACAAUGAGGGCCCAUUUCUCUUUGCUUGCAUUCAAAACAUGAGUGACAACAGAGCGUCUGCCCUUGAAAUAGGGCAGACAUUAGCUGUGUGCUGUCAGAGCAAUAAUUAGAGGGUUCAAAACAACUGGAACUGCAAUUAAUAUGGCAGAACGAGGACUCAAGUUUAUCCUUGUAAAAGUAAGCAAGAUACUAACUGAAGAAAAGAAAUGUGAGCCUUACGGUUUCACUUGUAACACGUGAAAUGUUGUGUUAAAAAAGUGGAAGCUUAAGAAUUUGUGUAUUGAUUUGUAAGCUUGGAUUCAGCAACAUGUCAGUUUAAAGUUUAUUGCGCCAUACAAACAUAAUGCAGCAACCAGUUAUGGAACAAGCAAGAAACAUUGUAUUUUGUCUAAAUGCCAUCAAAAUCAUCAAGCAGAUGUACAUCUAAUGUGUUUAGUAUUGUUUCAGUUAUUAAUCAAAAGGAAACUCUAAACAGGUGGAGGUUUCAGCCUGGAUUUGACUCAGUGUUCCAGCAGUUUUGCAGUUUUCUGGAAGCGUGUUACAAAUUAGAGGAGCAUAAAAAUUUCAAUCUGUAUAUAAAGCUCUGGAAGAAAAGAAAAGAAAAGAAAAGAGAGACCACUGUAUUGAACCCCGAUGAAAACCUCCUGGUCAUUCCACCAAAUAGUGAUUUCUGAACUUUUCUUGAGUUAAAACAUUAUUAUUGUUGUUUCUAAACGAAGAUGAACUUGUUUUCUUUGCAUUACUUGAGGUCUGAGAGCACAGCAUCACUUUUAUUAUGCUGACCAUUUCUCAUUUUCUGAAAAUAAAUCCAAACUUUUUGCUUGGAAUAUCAGAAACGUGUUGUCAAAGAACAAUAUUCACUUCACCCAAACAUAUACAUAUGAAGAGUAAAAUCAGAGAAACUGAUCAUUUUAAGUGGUGUCUUAAUUUUUUCCAGAGCUGUAUGUUUGCUUGUUUUUUUUGUUUUUUUUUUUAAACUUACUUCCCAGCAUUUACAUAUGAGCAGAUGUCUUCAGCAGUUUUGCUUCAGUCAAACCUGCCUCUUUGUAUCAUUUGUUCUGUUAAAUACGUUUGCAUGUGAGUGUAUGUUCAGGAGGAAGCAUCAAACAUACAUUCUGUUACACCUCAGUGAAACUGAAUGGCAAUUAAAGAGUCUUCAUCUUCCCAA